rnacentral:rRNA from 1 species
GAUGAACGCUAGCGGGAGGCUUAAUACAUGCAAGUCGAGCGGGAUUCUCCUUCGGGAGAUGAGAGCGGCGCACGGGUGAGUAACGCGUAGGAACGUACCCCAAACUGAGGGAUAACUGCUCGAAAGAGUAGCUAAUACCGCAUGUGAUCUCCGGAUUAAAGCUUCGGCGGUUUGGGAACGGCCUGCGUACGAUUAGAUAGUUGGUGAGGUAAUGGCUCACCAAGUCGACGAUCGUUAGCUGGUCUGAGAGGAUGAUCAGCCAGACUGGGACUGAGAACGGCCCAGACUCCUACGGGAGGCAGCAGUAGGGAAUUUUCCACAAUGGGGGCAACCCUGAUGGAGCAACGCCGCGUGCAGGAUGAAUGCCUUCGGGUUGUAAACUGCUUUAUAUGUGACGAAUAUGACGGUAGCAUAUGAAUAAGGAUCGGCUAACUCCGUG